CUCCGAUUGAACGCUGGCGGCGUGCCUAAAACAUUGCAAGUCGAGCGGUAACCGGUGUAGCAACCAUGCUGACGAGCGGCGAACGGGUGAGUAAUGCAUUGGAAUCUUCCCCGUAGUGGGGAAUAACCCGUCGAAAGAUUGGCUAAUACCGCAUACGUCGGAAACGGGAAAGCGGGGGCUCGUAAGACCUCGCGCUAUUGGAUGAGCCAAUGUCGGAUUAGCUAGUUGGUGAGGUAACGGCUCACCAAGGCGACAAUCCGUAGCUGGUCUGAGAGGACGACCCGCCACACCGGAACUUAUAGGGAGUCCGGACUCCUACGGGAGGCCGCCGUGGGGAAUAUUGGACAAUGGGGGAAACCUUGAUCCCGCGACGCCGCGUGUGUGAAGAAGGCCUGCGGGUUGUAAAGCACUUUUAGUGGGGACAAAAAGCUACGGGGGAAUUUUAGUGGUCUUGAUGGGGCCCAAAGAAAAAGCACCGGCUAACUCUGUGCCCGCCGCCGCGGUAAUACGGAGGGUGCGAGCGUUAAUCGGAAUUACUGGGCGUAAAGCGCGCGUAGACGGUUUUGUAAGUCCGAUGUGAAAUCCCUGGGCUCAACCUGGGAACUGCAUUUGAAGCUGCAUGGCUAGAGUAUCGAAGAGGGAAGUGGAAUUUCCGGUGUAGCGGUGAAAUGCGUAGAAGUCGGAAGGAACACCCGUGGCGAAAGCGACUUCCUGGUCGAAUACUGACGUUCAUGUGCGAAAGCGUGGGGAGCAAACCGGAUUAGAAGCCCUGGUAGUCCCGACCAUAAACGAUGACAACUAGAUGUUGGGAGGGUCUG
rnacentral:rRNA from 1 species